UAAGGGACAAGAGAGAGAGAGAGAGAGAGAGAGAGAGAGAGAGAGAGAGAGAGAGAGAGAGAGAGAGAGAGAGUUUUAUCAUUAUUAACAGUAUUUGUGGUUAUUGCUCUUCACCUCCACACCUAUGGACGUAAGCUUACAGGCCCUGGCAUCUGUACUACGACCGCAUUAGAUUCACGGUAAUUAUAGAUUAUUUAUUAUUAUUUAUUCAGACAUAAAUGAUGUACCUUCUGUGUGUGUGUGUGUGAUUCACCGAGGGUCGUGUGGUGGUCAGCCAGCCAGCCGUUCCCCUACAGAAAGAGGUCAGAGGUCAUAGUGAGCGAUCUUUGGGCAGGACUGAGGCCAGUGACACGCCACACGCCGGGACAGCGAGGCCACAAGCCCUCGGCCUACACCCAGCGCCUGCCUGCCCCGCGUCACACUGCCUACACAGCGACAGCCUCGCCCAUCUGCCUCGCCGCUCCCGGGAUUCAAACCCUGCCCUUCUUGGUUGUGAGAUGAGCGUGUUAACCACUACACUACGCGCACACAAAGAUGAGUCACUGUAUUGAGAGAUGUUAUCGAGAUGGUAGCGAGUGACUGGAGCCCCUUUUCCUAGCGUCUGGGUUAGGGCGUAGGCAGUUGAACAAUGGAGGUGCAUUGUGGGUGAAGAUGUGGUCGAGUGUGUUCUGUCGCUGUAUUGUGAGAUGUCUUGCUGAGUCUGUUACUUUGCUGGUGUGUUGAGUGAAACUGACAUCACUGCAUUUUUGCUGCCAACAUUUACGAUGAAACAAUGUGCAGAGUGUGCAUGGAGGCAAUGAACGAUAAUUAGUGAGAGAAAAAGUAGGUUUUCUGUUCCCCUGUGGCAUGCCCACUGCACUGUAAACAAGUGGUUUUGCUCCGCCUUCCACCUUCUGCCUUGACUUGUGUGCUGCAAAAGCCUUGAAGAAAGUGAUGAGUGGGUGUGGUGCUUGUGGUGAGAGUGUGGCCAACAGGCAGAGGCCUGUGGCAUGCGAGAGAAGCGAGUGGCCUGUGCUGGGGUGAGGGAGGCCAACACGAAGGCGCUGCUGGGCUUCUCUCUAGCUUGUGGCCUUCCUGUGCAGGGAAUGCCCGAGUAACAGCCGCACUGAAUGGAGGAGCCAGGAUGAUGAAGAAGAAGAAAGAACAGUGGCGUAAGUAGACAUUGGAGCCAUAAUCAAAAUUUUAAAUGAUCUCAAUUAAGUAUUUUGUGAUAAAGUAUUGCAUCUUUGACCGUGAUUGCGCUAUUUUGCUCCCAAAGACGUUCUGUAAGCCAACAUGACACAAGAGGUCAUCAGUACAAGAUUGCUCAAGUGACAACACGCAAACGGUUCUUGUGUCAGAGGAACUGUACUUUAAAACUUCCCCAGAAUGUUGCUUCGGCCAAAACAUUGUCUGGUUUGAAGGCGUCCCUUUCGGCUCACCUUCGCGACCGUCUUUUUGAAUUUAUGUAACUUUUUGUUCUACUGGUGCACAUGAAGCACCGUCCAGCUAAUUGUGAAGAUUUGUGAAGAACCUAGCACAUUAUAGUGAUAGGCUGGCGCAUGAGCUGAGUGGGAUGUAGGCAAAAUUCUUAGGAUCAGCAACCAGGGUAGAACAAGAAAUAACGGGUUCAAGCUUGAAAAAUUUAGGUUUAGGAAGGGGAUAGGAAAAACCUGGUUCUCAAAUAGAGUGGUAGAUGAGUGGAACGGACUCAGUAAUCAUGUUGUUAGUGCUAGGACACUAGAGAGCUUUAAGAGAAGAUUAGACAAGUUUAUGGAUGGGGAUAAUAGAUGGAAAUAAGUUAAUUUCAUAGAGGGACUGCCACGUGUAAGCCUGGUCGCUUCUUGCAGCUUACCUUAUUUCUUGUGUUCUUAUGUUCUUAUGAGUGUGGCUUCUGCUGUGGGCACCUGGGUCAGUCCCGGGUGCAGGGAACCCCACCAGGUGAGGCUGAAAUGUAUAAGCGGCGGUAAUUCAUUGGCCUAAUAUAGGAAUUAGUAAAAUAGAGAUGUUGGCCUCAUGCUGGGUAUACAUCACUGGCCAGGCUUUGAGUAACAAUUUGACCACCGCAAACUGCUGGAAACAGAGAACUUGACAGAGCGGGCCAGUGCUGGGAACCAAAAUUUACGCCACUACCAGAGCGUUUCUUGAUCAGCAGUCUCCGAGUCAUCCCGGCCUUCCAGAACACUCUCAACUUUAUCUUAGAGGUUUUGUUAGCACUCAGUAAACGGUCUGGUUAAAUGUGCAGUCUGAUGUUAUCCUGGAAAUGGUUACAAGCAGGCAGGUAGAUGGGCCCCGCAACAAGAGUGAGGGCCGAUGCAUCGUGAUGAGUUGUACCAGAUGCCUUGAAAAAUUAAAGACGAGAAUUCCAGGUUUUCAGAACAGGACAGUGACACGUAUAUUAAAUUCAUAAUGAGACAGGUUAGAGUUGUGAUCUUAUGAAGGGAAAUAGAUGAUGUCAGCGUCUGCCUGUGACCCCAAACUAGUUGAUUGUAUACCUGUGAUGUAAUUAUUGUGAAAGCUGAUAAACACUUUUUUUGAGGUACAGGUGAUGGGGUUUCUCGUCACAUGUACUAGUGUGUGUGUGUGUGUGUGUGUGUGUGUGUGUGUGUGUACAACAUAGAUAUGUCUGUAGUAGGAUAUGACAAGGCUGAUAAAUAUGAGGUACAAUAAUUAUUCCCCCAACUCAUCAAAAAAAAAAAAAAAUUAUCAUUAUUAUCUGACACCCCCAGGUAAACUUAGUGUUAGGUUAGGUUAAGUGAGGAGUCUAACCAAGAGUACUGGGGUGGCAGAUCUUCGUCAUACUGGAUGGUUUGCGAGUUCAUAUAUAGAUAGAUAACACCAUGACAAACAUUCCACAUUUUCUUUAUCAUGUCGCAUUGUAAUUGAUAAGAGAUGCACAGUAUAUUUUAGCACAGAUUCAGGACUUUGUUAAUUGUAGUUUUUAUCAAGUAUAUCAAGUGACAUUUGGGUAAUUUGAGUUUGUGUGUGAAAGAUAAGCUUGACAAUGUUUAGCCUUGAAAUCACAGUUCAGGGAAGGUAGGGAAGUCAGUGGCUGGCCUUACUCCAGGUCCAGCUCUGUGGAGGAGUGACCGCAAGCCUGCAAGAGGAAGUUUGGUUAGCGCAACACCAUUGAUGAGUGUGAUUGGCUGUCUGCAGAGUGGGAAGCAUGACAAGAAUGCCACCAUGCCAAGAAGUGAAAGACUCGGUUGACAAAAGCAGGUGACCAAGAGUGCACUGCAGCAAGGAAGUCUUUCUCGUUGUAAAGAAAAAAAGUAGUCAAUGAAAACGUAAUCAUUGAAUAACUAAGCAUUUUGCAGAUCAGUAGGUGUGUCUGAGGAGCUGAACCCACAUGACGGAUUCCCUAGAACUGCUGGCUUUGCUGAAGUGUUGACAUUUUUUGGACCGACCAGUGAUGCUCGUUGCAACAAGAGUCACACCUCAAACCCCAAGGAAUGCCAAGAUGCGCCUUUCCCCAGGUCUGCAGGGUGGUCUGCAGGGCGCGAGGUGCGCACUGGAGUAUGCAGUGGCCAUCUCAAUUCGGUGUGAUGCUGAUGGGAGACCCUGCAGGCCUGAGGAACGCCUUCAGACAGAGGACACUCAAGAGCUGUGAAGGAGCAUGUUUGUGCACAGCUGACAUCCAGGAAUGGUUUUGCUUCGCCACAAACACUGGACACUGCUGGCUUGAGCGACGCAGCCAGACUGGCCGAGGUUCAAGCCCAAUGCAGGUCUUUGAACUGGAUGGCUGGAGCUGCCUCAGAGAAGACCGAGAGGUAUGUCAGAGGAAUUGCUGGUGAUAAUUUCAACGUAAAUGAUCUUUGAGCUGUUUGCCAAGCCCUGAAGCUCUGCUCCGAGCCUACAACUCGGGUGAGCAGCUCUGUGCGAACAGCCAAUGGCCGGGCACUAUUGGACGCAGAAGAAUGCUGCUGCAGCGCUCGUUGGCUCGAGUACUUAGGGCUGCUGUACAGGGUUGAGCCUCCAAGUGGUCUGCUUCCCCUGGUGGAUGAGCAGGGGGCAGGUGCCGGCACACUAGUCACUGUUGCUACUCCUUCCAUUGCCGAGGUGAGGAAGGUUGUGGGAGAGCCGAGUGGUGGGAGGGCUGCUGGGACGCACGGCAUCAGCGGGAGGCGAGUCUGUGCUCCGAGGGCUGCUUGUGGUCACUAAGGAUGCUGUCUUCUGUAAUUAAAGGCUUAUUAGAUUAUCCACUUCUUGUAAUUAAGGGAUCAGUAGUUAUUUCUCUGGGGUGGAAGGGAACGCACCUCACUACUGACUUUAUUAAACGUUGUGUGUUGACUGAGUUGUGACAAGUUAACAACGCUGUCUUGUGUCAUGAAGAGCUGGGGUGUGUUGUCUCUCCAAGGCUGGAGGAGAACAUGGCUGCACCUCAAGUGGAGCCGCUCCAGCCACUCCCUGCAAGUCUUCCACACUGAUUUGAAGAAAGUCACUACACUUUCCAAGAACCCAGCGACUUUUUCCUGUUUGUCUCUGUGAACACAAGAAAUGAGGGAAGGUGCAACAAGUGACCAGACUUACAAGUGGCAGUCCUUGUAUGAAAUAUACCAGCACACAGUUCAUUGAAACUUUGAUCUGGAGUUGACAAGCGCAGUCAAGUUUCCACCCUCCAGCACCAAGAACAGCCUUCCUCCACGAACUGUCUGACUGCUGGGACUUGGAGGCGGAUGAAGCAGUGCCAUCCAGAUCGCGCACCUCAAAAAAUGUCAACACCAUCAUGACUAAUCCAGUUUUUUAAUGCAGAUUGAUCUGGAUGGAGUGGCAUUCUCACUACAGACUGGAGACCCAUUCACUUAAAGGACCCGGUUGGAGUUGGACACAAAAUUCAAGAGCAGAUUUUCAGCCGUUACAAUAUCUUAAAUCUUCUGAUAAGAUUUAAAUUGGGUAAUGUUGGGUUUGCUGUAGUGAAUCACCAAGACACAAGUCCAUGCAUGUGUCUGUGAUGUAAGGAGGGUAGAAAUGUCUCCCUUCACACCACAGGAGGCAGCACCACCGUGGCAGGACCCCAGAGUCAGGUGCUGUGCUGCGAGGAGACAAACAGCAGCAGUAGUAAAAGAAUCCAUUGGUGGUGGUGGUGGUGGUGGUGCAGCUGUCCACUCCUCCAAAGCGGCUGUCUUGCCUCAACAUGCUGUCUUCCCCCCACCUGCAAUGAACAACACCUCUCCUGUGAUGAGCAACACUGAGUAACACCUCUCCCCUGCAUCAGCAACACUCAGCAACACCUCUCCUGUGAUGAGCAACACUCAGCAACAUCUGCUUCUCUUCACACAUUCAUUCAAGCCUCUCUCUCUCUCUCUCUCUCUCUCUCUCUCUCUCUCUCUCUCUCUCUCUCUCUCUCUCUCUCUCUCUCUCUCUCUCUCUCUCUCUCUCUCUCUCUCUCUCUCUCUCUCUCUCUCUCUCUCUCUCCACAGCCCCACAGCAUGUCCCCCACAUCAUGUUUAUAAACCCACAGUGACCACACACACACACACACACACACACACACACACAGCAUUACAUAUACAAACAGUGCAUCUUGUACAGUGCCUAUAUUAAAGAAUGAACACAGAAAAUGGA